AGCCGCGGUAAUUCCAGCUCCAAUAGCGUAUAUUAAAGUUGUUGCAGUUAAAAAGCUCGUAGUUGAAUUUCGGGAUCAAUACGUCGGUCGUGCUUUCGGGUACGUACUGGCGUCAUUGGUUUCUCCUUUCUGACGAACCAUGAUGUCAUUAAUUUGGUGUUAUGGGGAGUUAGGACUGUUACUUUGAAAAAAUUAGAGUGUUUAAAGCAGGCAUUAGCUUGAAUACAUUAGCAUGGAAUAAUGAAAUAGGACGUUCGAUCCUAUUUUGUUGGUUUCUAGGAUCAACGUAAUGAUUAAUAGGGAUAGUUGGGGGCAUUAGUAUUCAAUUGUCAGAGGUGAAAUUCUUGGAUUUAUUGAAGACUAACUACUGCGAAAGCAUUUGCCAAGGAUGUUUUCAUUAAUCAAGAACGAAAGUUAGGGGAUCGAAGACGAUCAGAUACCGUCGUAGUCUUAACCAUAAACUAUGCCGACUAGGGAUCGGAUGAUGUUAAUUUUUUAAUGACUCAUUCGGCGCCUUACG
rnacentral:rRNA from 1 species